rnacentral:tRNA from 1 species
GCCUGGGUGGCUCAGUCGGUUAAGCGUCCGACUUCGGCUCAGGUCAUGAUCUCUCAGUUUGUGGGUUCAAGCCCCACGUCGGGCU